ACACGCCCACGGCCAUCCGUUUCCACCUCCACUCAGCCGCCGCCGUGCUUCUCUGCUAAUUAUCCAGGUAGGUAAAUUAUAAAGGUAGUGUGACAAAUCAAAAUGGGAGAGCCAGCUCAUGGAGCUUCAUCAGGACCAACUGGAGCAGUGGAUCCUCCUACAGGUGUCCUCGGCGGUCCUUCUGAUCUUGCUGGAACUCCUCCAGUGAAGGAGCCGAAUACAAAUGUUACAAGAAAGAUGUAUCAGAAACAUCUAGAAGAAGAAGAAAACGAGGAAGGGGAAGAGGAAGAGGA